rnacentral:rRNA from 1 species
AGCCAAGUUUGGACGGGAUAAGCGCUGAAAGCAUCUAAGGGCGAAACCCACCUCAAGAUAAGACUUCCCAUUCCGUAAAGGAAGUAAGACCCCAGGAAGAAUACCUGGUAGAUAGGCUAGGAGUGUAAGGGCAGUAAUGUCUUAAGCGGACUAGUACUAAUCGGUCGAGGGCUUGACCU